CAGCAAGGUCCGGCGCGCGUGUGUGAGUGGGUUCCUGUGAGCCGGAUAUACAUAACACUGCAAUGUGAAUCAAGAACAGGUGAAUAAUUGCCACUGUAAUUAACCUAUGGCGCGGUGACACGGAGGGAGAGAGGCGCCAGGAGGGAAGGAGUGACAGCUCAGUGCAAUAGGAAAAUUUCAUGGUGCGUGACCUCAGAUAACCAACAGAAAACUUGUGCAUUAUAGUCAUCAUCCAAGAGGACACAAAAAGGAGAAUAAAUAUAGACGAGAUUAAUUGAUAUUGUUAUUACGUAGAGAUUGUUAAUGUAGUGAAUAUAUAUAUAUUUGAAUCAUUUUUCCGAGUUAGUGCUGAAAAAUAUAGUUAGGUUAUUUUUCAUUUGAUUUGCUGUGGUAUUCAAGCAAUAAUAUCAGAAAAAGUGUGAAGAAAACUGGGAAUAAGCAACUACAUAAGUGCUUAGGAUGUUACUUACUUACACUGUGGCACUUAAUCAAGAAAGAAGUGAGUGAGAUGAUGGGUCUCUGAGAAAAAUUAAAAAACAACAAAUAACCACGAAUAUUAAGCCAGUCCAGAAAACAAAACAACUUAUAAGUGAAGAAAAAACCACGAAGCUUAAACCAAUCCAGAAAAUUAAGCUUAUAAGUGACAAAAAAAAAAAAAAACAGGAAUCUUAAAACAGUCCAAGAAAAGGCUUACAAGUGACGAAAAAAAAACAGGAACUUUUAACCUAUCCAUAAAGAAAGCUAAGUGAGAAAAAGAAAAAAAAAUCUUACACCAGCUUCGAAAAAAAAAAAAACUUAAAAGUGAACUGAGAAACCGGAAACCUGAAAAAAAAAACUUGCCUACUUACUCCUACAAGCCCCAGUUAUUGACACUGUCCUUCCGUGAGUGGCAGUGAAAGAGUUACAGUAGGCGAGGCAAUAUGAGGACUCCGGGAACUGCUACUGUUACGUUCACUGCUUCACUGCUGUUACUCUCUCUGCUGCUGCUGCUACUGUUGCAUCCCGCCCUCUCCACUUCUCCGCUUAAUAAAGGUGAGGCUGGGAAUGUGAGCGCAGCGGGCAGGUAAGUGCACAAAGAAACACAAAGGAUGGGCAAAGUAGUAGUAGACAGACUGGUGUUAGAGGUAGGUUUAAGUUAAGGUGUGGUGUGAAGAGAGGCAGGGAUGUAUUGUUGGUGAUGCUUUUAAUAUACAUACAGAAACACACGCGUCUAUACACAAGAGAAGGACUAGUAAUGUUGGAUGGACUGGUGAUAAGAGGAAUGUUUCGAGUUAAGGAGUCUGAUUUACAGAGAUGCUGGGUAGUGUUGUCUGAUGUGGAUUAAUAAACACGCUGAAGCACACACGUUCACAUACACGCUAGUAGACUUUAUUUUAGCUGUCCUGUCUCUUAUUUUAGAUCAGAUGAGGUAGAUUAUUUGUUUGUUUUUCCACGUUUGUUUAUUUGUGUGUACUCGAACACUUUGAACAUAAUGAACACACACACACAUACUUACGUACACACCUUUAAACAAGUGAUAAAAUUCCCUUCAGAUGGAGAUAUAUACUGAACACACACACACACACACACACACACACACACACACACACACACACACACACACACACACACGAUCUUCAUCUUAACAUAUCUUUUACUUGGAUACACAAACUGAAUCUUCUACUGUAUCUAUUUUCGCUUUGGCUUUCUUUGCCUUCCUUGGUAUGUACCCUAACACCACCAAUAUACCAGACGCAACAUAAGAAAUACAUAACACGUCUCUUAUUUUCAGACUAUAAAGGAUAUGAAUUGCAUCUUCAGUCGGUUCUUCCUUUGCCUUUCCUUCUGUUCCUUGCUGUGUACCCCAACACCCCGAACGCAGCAUACACAAGGAGUCUACAGCUUAACUACCCUCCGUCUUUUUAGUUUAGAUUAGAUAUCCCUUUAGACUAGACUGAAUUGAUUCGCUUACGUUUCCUUGUGUUCAUUACUCUCCACCCAAACACCCAAGCACAAUCAACCAACACUAAACACAUCAGCAACAUAAUCACUCGGUAAAAUUUUAACUACAGAAGCAUAGAAACACAAAAAAUUGCAUCUUUAGUCUAUUAUUUUCUUUACAUCUUUUUUUUUGUUCCUUGCAUUGAAACACCUGAAUGCGAUCAACAAACACUAAACAACACACACAUACAACAUAAUCACCCUACAAAAUACACUAGUGGUCUUCAUCUUAGCUAAACCAUGUCUCUUACUUUAGAUUCGUUAUUCGUUAAGAGUUGAUUAAAUGUAUUCCUUUACAUCUCGUCUUCCAUUACCACUUACCUUAUCACCCAAAACAUAGCCAACACACACACACACACACACACACACACACACACACACACACAAACAUAUAAGGAGUCAUCAUUUUAAGUUACCCCUUACUUACACAUACGUAGAUUAGAUCGCAGGAAAAUUAUAUCUCCUACCUCUUCUUCCUUUCCCUUUCAUCGCCACGUACCCCAACACACGGACAAUCCACUAAACAACAUACGAACGUACAUACACAAAAGGAGACUUCAUUUUAAUACUCCAACACCUCUUUCAUCUGUUCUUCCUUCACGUCUCUUUCUGUCCCUCGUACCCAAACACCCGAACACAAUCAGCAAGCACUAAACAACACACACACACACACACACACACACACACACACACACACACACACCAACAAUGUAAUCACUCGACAAAAUACACUCACACCCCAGCACUCCCUAAUCCAACACCUUCCUGCACCCCUAAAUACUCGCGCCGAUUCCCUUUCCAAUACACUAAAUUCACCCCGAACACUGCAUGGGGGAGGACCAAGAGCGGAGGAAUAAAUUUAGAGGGUUCCUUGCCGGGCCUAAUGCGUGUGCCUGCUGGUGGCUCGUGUUUGCAAUGCCACACGCCCGUCCUGAAGGGAGAAUAUAUGAUUGCACGUCUCAGGAUCCCGGUGAUCAAGAGAAUGUUUAAGUGCAGUGCGGUUUUCAUGAUGAGAUGUAGUCCCGCUUGCAUGAUUAGAACGGAACUAGAUGCUGCUGCAGGGGCGGAUGGAUGGAUGUACCAGGGAAGGGAAAGGACGAGAUGGCAAAAAUUGAAGUUGAGAGGGAGAUGAGAUGCAUGUCAGAAGGAGGGAGUAUUGAAGGGAGUAAGAAAGGUAGAAAGCGUAAAGAAAAAGGAGUUUCUGAUUUGUGAAGAUUACAAGGAGGAAUGAAGAACAGACGGAGAUGGAUGCAAUCGGUAAAGGAGGGAAAGAGGGAAAAAUAACCUUAGGAGAUGAGAUGCGGGUUAUAGAGGAAAUACUGAAGGAAAUAAGAAAGGCAGGACAUUUACAUAACAGUUUUGGAGUUGCGAAUAUUACAAGGGAAAGGGAACCAAAGAUUGCGAGAUGGAAGCAAUCUGGAAAGGAGGAAUGAAAAAAAAAAUAAAUAAGAUUAAAAAAAAAAUGCAGAUUGUAAAAAAAGGAAAUACGUGAGGAAACAAGGACAGAACACUUAGAUAAAAGUUUUAGUGAUGCAAAUGUUUGAAGGGAAAGGAAACUGAAGAUUGAGAGAUGAAAGCAAUCUGGAUCGGAGGGAAGGAAAAAAAAAUGAAGAAAUACUGUUAAUAAAAAGGAAAUACUUAACAAAACAAGAAGCACAACGCACUUACAUAAGAGUCUUAGUGAUACAAAUGUUUGAAAGGAAGGGGGACUGAAGACUGAGAGACUGAAGUAACUUGGAAAAGGGGGAAAAAAAAACAGAAGAAAUGCGGUUAUAAAAAGGAAAUACUGAGGGAAACAAAAACACAACAUAUACAUAAGUUUCAGAGAUGUGAAUAUUUGAAGAAAAAGGAAACUAAAAAUACAGAUAUGGAAGUAAUCUGAAAAGAAGGGAAAAAAAAAAGCUUCUCGUAUGUGGUUUAUAAAAUUGAAAUACUGAAGGGAAACAAGAAACACAGGACAUAUACAUAGCAGGACUUUUAGAGAUAGGAAGAGAUACUAAAGAUUGAGAGACGGACGGUAUCUGGAAAGGAGAAAGGAGGAAGGAAAAAUUACGAGAGAUGGGAUGUAUGCCGAAAGAGGAGGCAUUGAGAAAAGUAAAGAGUAUAUAAAAUCCAAAAAGAGGAAAGCGAAAAGAUGAAGCGUACCAAGAGGAGAGCUUGGAGGGUGGAAAAAAGAGGAGUUUUCGAUUUUAGAAAGGUUACGACCACGUGGGAAAAAAGAUAAGGAAGGGGAAGGGAAAAACAGGACUGGAAUUUGGUGAAAGCAUAAAAAAAAUAAAACAAAAGAUAAAAAAAAAAGAGAAAUAUGUAAAGAUAAAAAAAAUGUUGAAAUGCCAUACAAUGUUGAGAAAAUAAAGCAAAAAAUAAUAAUAUCAGGUAAGAAACAAUACAUGAUAGAUUUGAUGAUAUAACAGGACGUGAAAUUUGGUGAAAACAAAAACAAAAAUAAGUAAACAAUAUUAAAAAAAAAAAAGGAAAGAAAUACCAGAGAAAGUUGAGAAAAUUAACAAAAAUUAAGAUAGUUAGAAGUAAUGGAAAACAGAGGUCAGGAGGAAAGACGAAAAGAUGAAAAGAAACAUAGGCAAAAGAAAACGAAAAAACUUCAAUGGAGUAUGGAUGGACUGAGAAAAGCGACGACGAAGAGGAAGAGGAAAAAAUAAAAAGGAGAAAUGGAGAAAACCAGAAGGCAUGAAAAGCGGAAGGAAGGCAUGCAAAGAAUGAAGGAAAA